CUACGGGAGGCAGCAGUGAGGAAUAAUUCACAAUGGGGGCAACCCUGAUGGUGCAACGCCGCGUGGAGGAUGACGGUCUUCGGAUUGUAAACUCCUGUCAUCUGGGAGUAAGACCUGGCGAUGAAUAGUCGACAGGGUUGAUAGUACCAGAAGAGGAAGGGACGGCUAACUUCGUGCCAGCAGCCGCGGUAAUACGAAGGUCCCAAGCGUUGUUCGGAAUCACUGGGCGUAAAGGGAGCGUAGGCGGCGUGGUAAGUCAGAUGUGAAAUCCCGGGGCUCAACCCCGGAACUGCAUCCGAUACUGCCAUGCUAGAGGAUUGGAGAGGUAACUGGAAUUCUUGGUGUAGCAGUGAAAUGCGUAGAGAUCAAGAGGAACACUCGUGGCGAAAGCGAGCUACUGGACAAUUCCUGACGCUGAGGCUCGAAGGCUAGGGUAGCGAAAGGGAUUAGAUACCCCUGUAGUCCU
rnacentral:rRNA from 1 species